GAAGACGAGUGCAGCCGUUGGUAUAUAGGUAAUUUAAUGUAUAUCUGUAAGCAAUGAUAAACCAUUGCUUACGAAAAAACGAUUCUGAACGUAGUUCAGUUGAUAGUGAUGCUUUGUCAACAAUAUAUUAUAUGUCAUACUAUGGUAAAAUAAUUAAAUAGGCAUCAUUAUAUAUUUUCUUUAAUAAUAUUUGUUUAAUAUUGUUCCGAUUUUUCCAUUUUUCCAGCGUUUUUUCAGGUUUUCCCUUGUUUUUCACAUUUGCUGGGAAAACUCUUUGAGAAGAUCGAAAAAUCACCUUUUAAAUCACCUCCUCAGUCAGAUUUCCAUUUAGAAAACGCGCUAUUAUUGUAAAUCGGAGAAAAAUUGCCGGUAGAAAAGUUCAGAAUACAGUGUCACACUUCGCUACACUGAGAAUCUAAAAACAAACAUCAAUUUUAUCUUUUGCUUUUUUCAUCAUCUACUAGGAAUUAAUUAUUAUUAUUUUUUAUUUAUAUUAUGAACAUUUUAAAAUAUAAACUGUUAUGAGUGCCUGUAAUUUGUUACUGUUUUCACCGGACGGGAG